AAGACCGUAGCUUAAUUAAAGCAUUUGAGUUGUAUUGAGGAGAUGCAGGUUAAUACCCUGCAGGUCUUA
rnacentral:tRNA from 1 species